rnacentral:rRNA from 1 species
UACGAAGGGACCUAGCGUAGUUCGGAAUUACUGGGCUUAAAGAGUUCGUAGGUGGUUGAAAAAGUUGGUGGUGAAAUCCCAGAGCUUAACUCUGGAACUGCCAUCAAAACUUUUCAGCUAGAGUAUGAUAGAGGAAAGCAGAAUUUCUAGUGUAGAGGUGAAAUUCGUAGAUAUUAGAAAGAAUACCAAUUGCGAAGGCAGCUUUCUGGAUCAUUACUGACACUGAGGAACGAAAGCAUGGGUAGCGAAGAGGAUUAGAUACCCUCGUAGUCCAUGCCGUAAACGAUGUGUGUUAGACGUUGGAAAUUUAUUUUCAGUGUCGCAGCGAAAGCGAUAAACACACCGCCUGGGGAGUACGACCGCAAGGUUAAAACUCAAAUGAAUUGACGGGGACCCGCACAAGUAGUGGAGCAUGUGGUUUAAUUCGAAGAUACGCGCAGAACCUUACCAACACUUGACAUGUUCGUCGCGACUCUAAGAGAUUAGAGUUUUCGGUUCGGCCGGACGAAACACAGGUGCUGCAUGGCUGUCGUCAGCUCGUGUCGUGAGAUGUUGGGUUAAGUCCCGCAACGAGCGCAACCCUCACUUUUAGUUGCCAUCAUUAAGUUGGGCACUCUGAAAGAACUGCCAGUGAUAAGCUGGAGGAAGGUGGGGAUGACGUCAAGUCCUCAUGGCCCUUACGUGUUGGGCUACACACGUGCUACAAUGGUAUCUACAACAGGAAGCAAGACUGCGAAGUUAAGCAAAUCCCUAAAAGAUACCUCAGUUCGGAUUGCACUCUGCAACUCGAGUGCAUGAAGCUGGAAUUACUAGUAAUCGUGGAUCAGCGUGCCACGGUGAAUGCGUUCCCGGAUCU